GGUCCUUGAAGGCAGCAGUGUCUGCUGGUCUCUCGAGGAAUGGAGUUGCGACAUCUGGUAUAAGUGUAAGGCCAGGGGACUAGAUGGUAGGUUACUAGAUGGUAGGUCACAAGAUGAUGGUAGGUCACUAGAUGAUGGUCGGUCACUAGAUGAUGGUAGGUCACUAGAUGAUGGUAGGUCACUAGAUGGUGGUAGGUCACUAGAUGGUGGUAGGUCACUAGAUGAUGGUAGGUCACUACACGAUGGUAGGUCACUAGAUGGUGGUAGGUCACUAGAUGGUGGUAGGUCACUAGAUGAUGGUAAGCAUGGCACAUCCAUCAGUUUUAGCAUGGUCAGGCAAUGACGACCCUAAUGAAUUAGGGCAAAUCAUAUGUUCAUACUUUACCAUGCUUUUACUACAACCCCUGUCUGCCUGCAUGUCUGUCUGUCUGUCCGAUCGGCUUACAGAGAGGUAAAGUCAGUGGUGAACUCUACCCUGCAGAAAUAGAGAGCAG
rnacentral:lncRNA from 1 species